rnacentral:rRNA from 1 species
AUUGAACGCUGGCGGCAGGCCUAACACAUGCAAGUCGAGCGGAUGAAGGGAGCUUGCUCCUGGAUUCAGCGGCGGACGGGUGAGUAAUGCCUAGGAAUCUGCCUGGUAGUGGGGAAAAUGGUCCGAAACCGGGCCUAAAUACUCCUUCCUCCCUGUGGUGGAAGUUGGGUGAUCUCGGGACCUCAUCCAUUCAUAGUGGCCUAGGUCGGAUUAGCUGGUUGGUGGGGUAAAGGCUUACCAAGGCGACGAUCCGUAACUGGUCUGAGAGGAUGAUCAGUCACACUGGAACUGAGACACGGUCCAGACUCCUACGGGAGGCAGCAGUGGGGAAUAUUGGACAAUGGGCGAAAGCCUGAUCCAGCCAUGCCGCGUGUGUGAAGAAGGUCUUCGGAUUGUAAAGCACUUUAAGUUGGGAGGAAGGGCAGUAAGUUAAUACCUUGCUGUUUUGACGUUACCAACAGAAUAAGCACCGGCUAACUUCGUG